rnacentral:rRNA from 1 species
GUGGGGAAUUUUGGACAAUGGGCGCAAGCCUGAUCCAGCAAUGCCGCGUGUGUGAAGAAGGCCUUCGGGUUGUAAAGCACUUUUGUCCGGAAAGAAAUCUCCUGGGUUAAUACCUCGGGGGGAUGACGGUACCGGAAGAAUAAGCACCGGCUAACUACGUGCCAGCAGCCGCGGUAAUACGUAGGGUGCGAGCGUUAAUCGGAAUUACUGGGCGUAAAGCGUGCGCAGGCGGCUAUGCAAGACAGAUGUGAAAUCCCCGGGCUCAACCUGGGAACUGCAUUUGUGACUGCAUGGCUAGAGUGCGUCAGAGGGAGGUGGAAUUCCGCGUGUAGCAGUGAAAUGCGUAGAGAUGCGGAGGAACACCGAUGGCGAAGGCAGCCUCCUGGGAUGACACUGACGCUCAUGCACGAAAGCGUGGGGAGCAAACAGGAUUAGAUACCCUUGUAGUCC